rnacentral:rRNA from 1 species
CUGUGACCGCAAGUUUAACGGCCGCGGUAUUUUGACCGUGCAAAGGUAGCGCAAUCACUUGUCUUUUAAAUAAAGACCUGUAUGAAUGGCAUAACGAGGGCUAAACUGUCUCCUUACUCCAGUUAAUGAAAUUGAUCUUCCCGUGCAGAAGCGGGAAUUAACUCAUAAGACGAGAAGACCCUGUGGAGCUUUAGAUGAAUAGACGAGUUUAUUAAUAAUUAAACCUUGUAAAAGAUGAUAAAUCUAUAACCUCAUCUUAAUAUCUUUAGUUGGGGCGACCGCGGAGUAAAACAAAACCUCCGUGAGGAUUGAGAUGAAAACCUUACACCCAAGAAAGUCGUUUCUAAGUACCAAAAUAUUUGACCAACAGAUCCGGCACUGCCGAUCAACGAACCUAGUUACCCCAGGGAUAACAGCGCAAUCCUCUUUAAGAGUCCCUAUCGACAAGAGGGUUUACGACCUCGAUGUUGGAUCAGGACAUCCUAAUGGUGUAGC